UACAAGUUAGUUUCACACCUACUGUGCGCCAGGUGCUGAGCUGGAGAUCAGAGAAAUAAAAAAAUGGUCCUGUUUCUGAAGAGUACCCAGUUUAGGGGAGAAGAUAGAAGAGGAAACAGACUGCCACCAUAUGAUGAGCAGACAGUCUCGCGAGGGCAGAGGUCCAGGGAGACGGUAUCUCGCCUAAGGACACUGGGCGAGCAGAGGCUGUGCUGAGCCUGAAGCCCGAGAGCAGGGCUCAGGCUUGGGUGCUCCAGGGACAGCACUGCAGCCUGGAUUCCAAGCCCCCUCGUGUGAGUCCCCGAGGACCCGAACAGCUCUCUUCAAUGGGGACUUUGCUCAGGACCCUCCCACACCACCUGUGGGGGAGCUGCAGCCUGGUUUCAGAGUUGCAUCAUCCACAGCCUUCGCCUAAAGCAUUGGCUACAGGAAACACCUCUAUUGAACUCGUCUUCCUGGAAGCCUCACUACUCAAAGUGUGGUCCUUGGACCAGCAGCGUGGGCAUCACCGGGGAGCCUGUAGGAAAUGCAGACUCUCAGGCCCCACCCCGGAUACACAGAAUCAGAACCUGCACUUCAACAAGAGCCCAGGAGACUCGUGUGCCAUUACAGCUUGAGAAGUGAGAAUGUUUUAAGCAACUGGACUAAGGUGACAGAUGAAUCGCAGGGUGAUGCACGUUUGCUGAGGCUUCCAUGAGCAGCACCCAUGCUGGCAUCUGCCAAUUCGGGGGUAUUGCCCAAGGUCAGAGCUUCCCGGCUCCUGCUGUCAGCCAGGCCUCCUCACAGUCAUGGCAGUGCUGGCCAGCGAGUACUGGGAGGGAAGGGUGUGCAGGCCCCUGUGAGCCCGUCUGCCCAGGGGAGCCAGGACUGCACUGAGACUUGAGGGAACAUUGGAGUUUGCCAGGCAGACAAAUGGUGGGGGUGGGGGUGGGGUGGAGUGGGUACCUGCCCCAGGGCUGGUGUUUUCAGAGGACAGGACUUUGUAGCUCUUACCCCAACACUGUCAGGGCACCUCCAUCUCUUGGGCCUCUAACCUGACUUUACAGGGGAGGAGAAUGAGGCUGAGAGGUGACUUGUCCAAGUAUAUGGGGAUCAAGGUACAAGCCCUUACUGAUUUCCUGGCUCUGAAGGAGGAAAAGGCAACAUCCGGGGCAACAGGCUUGGCCAGACUUGCCCUGGCUCUGCCAUUCCCCCGCUGUGUGACCUUGGGCUGGUUGAUUAACCUCUCUGUGUCCGUGCUUCCUCUUUUGUAAAAUGAUGAUAAUAAUGGUGCCCACCUCACAGAGCUAUCGCAGGGUUUACCCGAGAGCGGCACCUGGAGCUAGGAAGCCUGAUGCAUGUUGUUAGGCUCACUGCCUUCCAAGGGCAAGGGCUCCCAUCGGCUCCAUGGAGCAGGGAGGUCUUCCCUGGGAGGGGCCCCUUGGCUUUGUCCUGUGCAGCGGCUGCAGGUUAUUUUUAACUGAGAGGCCUGCCAGCCCUGCAGUGAGGUUAUUUGGGGCCUGGCCACAGCUGUGCUGGCCUGGUGGCUUAUUUUUGAGGAUGAAGCAGGCCCCAGUGCAGGAAAUAGGAAAACCCUUAUUUUCCACUGGUCUCCUCUUCUCUCCUCUGGAAACAACAGAGUUGUCCUGGGGGCGUCGUCAGGGUGGGGCAGGAUUUCCCUCCCCUCUUGGUGGGGCUGUCACUUCCCCCAGGGUUUGGAUACCCGAAACCAGGUUGAAGUGUCCAAGGGGGCCUCGGGGGAGGCAGCGGAAGCUCCUCCUUCCUGCCAAACCAAGAGCACUGCAACCCCACCUUUUUCUCAGGUGUGAGCCAGAUAGAUGUCAGCUGGGUGGGCCUCUGGUUCCUGGGAAGCAGGGUCACAUCCGCUGUGCUCACCCAGCUCCAAGACCUGUGGAGGCUCCUGGUCCUGCCCAAUUUUAGCCAGUUCCCAAGGAGCCUUGGGGUGUCCCUCCUACAUAAACCUCAGCCCUUCUCUGUGGUCCCCUGAUGAGAAGGCUUCCCUGUGCAGGACAGAUAACUUCCGCGGGGAGUCUUCCUCCCACCCCCAGCCUCCUCCAGCUUUCUAGCUUCUAGCCUCCUGCAUUCACAUGCCGCCCUUCAUGUCAGUGGGCUCCUCUGUCUCCCCACCCUUUUUUGGAACUAAAAUCACAGCUGGCCCCCCUUUGUCUUACACAGAGUAGCUUCCGUCCUCCUGGAGGCUUUGGGGCGCAGACCUGAAAACGUUAGCCACAGUCAGAAGUGUAACUCCUACAGGAAGAUGGUGAGGACCUGGAGAGAGUUUCAAGUUUGAUAAAAUUUUAUUUCCUAAGAUAGCCCCCUUCAAAUAUAGAUGAUUUUUAA